rnacentral:rRNA from 1 species
GACAGAGGUGCCAAGCGUUAGGCGGAAUCACUGGGCUUAAAGCGUGUGUAGGCGGGUCGUUAAGUACCUUGUGAAAUCCCCCCGGCUCAACCGGGGAACGGCUGGGUAUACUGGCGAUCUUGAGCCACCUAGGGGCAGUCGGAACAAGUGGUGGAGCGGUGAAAUGCGUAGAUAUCACUUGGAACGCCAAUGGUGAAAACAGACUGCUGGGGGUGUGACUGACGCUGAGACACGAAAGCCAGGGGAGCAAACGGG